GGAAAAACAUGGUCUGUUGAGGAAUUCUCAAGAUUGGGGUUUUAUUCGGAAUUGCAGAAAAGGGCCUGUCCCAGGAUGCCCGACCCUAACCGGGCUCAUGGGCGGUCCUCUGAUUUAGUUAAACUCAAAAGGGAUUUGGGGUUUUCUUCAUUAAACAGUCCAAAAUCAUAUUACAGAAUUUUACAAACAGUAUCAUCCUCACUCAUUCAUCUUAUACAACAAUUAGAUGUAAACCUCAUAUCUGAGGCUAUUAUAUAAACAGCGUUAUGGUAAUGUGGUCACACCGCCUCUCAUGAGUUUCACCAAUUGUACCAAACGGAUCAGUUCGUAGCUGGAUUCUUCACCGAUCUUUUAUACCUUCUCCGGAACAUAAAUGUUGCUCUGACCUCAAGUUCUGUGAGGUGGAAGAAAUUCCUUUGUUCUCUAUGAAACUUCACUCUGUCUCUAUACUGUGUGGCCAUGAGGCAGGAUCUUCCUGGAAUUUACCUCUCUCUGACCACAGCAGCCUGUGUGCAGGAGGCAGGGAGAGGCAGGGAGAGGGGGAUGGGGCUUGCUGUACCCAAAGAGUUGUACCCAACGUCAUGACACUGGUAUUUGCCACUUACAUAUUCCAUUUGUUAAAUUGCUAAUUCAAAUUGGACUGUAUCCAAGAGACUGUAUCCAAGGGGGAGGGCAGGCUGAAAAGACAACACCGGUCAUGGAGGAAUCCUGGUUGGCAGCAAAUGCGUGAGUCUUUGUUUGUGCAUACUUGUGUGUUAGACAGUAUCACACACCAAGAAUGAUCUUCAAUGGAGGUCUCCUGCCCUGUCUUGGACUAAUAAUAAGAUAGAUUAGGAGAAAGACAAGUCCAACGUGCUUCUACACCUGCAUUGCUUGCUGUUUGGGGUUUUAGGCUGGGUUUCUGUACAGCACUUUGAGAUAUCAGCUGAUGUACGAAGGGCUAUAUAAAUACAUUUGAUUUGAUUUUGAUUUGAACAGAGAGCUCCAGGAAGAUCUGUCUACAGGUGGUGGUGCCGUAACUUGAGGUCGGGCUGGGGAUGAUGACUGCAGGCAUAGUUCUGGAUGCUGUACAGACUGGCCCACCGGCCUAAAGAUAGACUGGCCCACUGGGCAUUUGCCCAAACUGCUCUUUGGCCAGUCCUUUUCAGGUUGGAAAUGACAAACAGGCCAUAAAGAUCAUCAAGGACAUCAACCACCCGAGCCACUGCCUGUUCACCCCGCUGCCAUCCAGAAGGCGAGGUCAGUACAGGUGCAUCAAAGCUGGGACCGAGAG
ensembl:lncRNA